GAUGAACGCUGGCGGCGUGCCUAAUACAUGCAAGUCGAGCGAACAGACGAGGAGCUUGCUUCUCUGAUGUUAGCGGCGGACGGGUGAGUAACACGUGGAUAACCUACCUAUAAGACUGGGAUAACUUCGGGAAACCGGAGCUAAUACCGGAUAAUAUUUUGAACCGCAUGGUUCAAAAGUGAAAGACGGUUUUGCUGUCACUUAUAGAUGGAUCCGCGCUGCAUUAGCUAGUUGGUAAGGUAACGGCUUACCAAGGCAACGAUGCGUAGCCGACCUGAGAGGGUGAUCGGCCACACUGGAACUGAGACACGGUCCAGACUCCUACGGGAGGCAGCAGUAGGGAAUCUUCCGCAAUGGGCGAAAGCCUGACGGAGCAACGCCGCGUGAGUGAUGAAGGUCUUCGGAUCGUAAAACUCUGUUAUUAGGGAAGAGCAAAUGUGUAAGUAACUAUGCACAUCUUGACGGUACCUAAUCAGAAAGCCACGGCUAACUACGUG
rnacentral:rRNA from 1 species